GUGGGAGUGUUUCAUUGGGAGUGCUCCUGAAUUCCCGGAAAAUGCCUCUAGAGUUCCGUAGAUAGUUUCGUAAUACACUCAUUACUUACCACAACGAGUGCGUAUUGUGGUAGCCACCACCUCGUAACCUUUAACCCGCCGUGCGAGGGCGGCUCGUCAAUUACCAGCAGUGAAAAUCAAUACAGAAUAUUGUGUAGUCCCACCGCCCACCAAUCCACCUACAACAACUCACCAAAUUUCGCGGCUUGCCGUUGGCCAUGCUGCUGUUGCCCACCUUUGGAGCCAGUGCCUCCUUAUCCAAUGACAAGCACUGGGCGGCGUUGCAUAGUGCCUCCGUGGAAGCCUCCACUUCCGGUUCCUGCUCCGUUUUGUGGCCUAAAUUGCACCAGCUGCGAUUACGCCUCAAGUGAACCGGGUGCGAACGCGUUUCGAGACUGGAUGGGAUCGCUGUGAGCUUGGCGCGCGAACUGAAUCCGCCUCCGCCGGCUGGACAGUGCUCAGCCCGUAAACCGAGCUCUGCGGGAUUCCCGCGCAGGCGCAGAGAAGCGGAACGCCGGAAACGCGCCACGGCGGGAUGUGGAAUGCGUGUGGGCGUUGUGGAUGCCGUGUGCGAGUCCUCGGCGGAAUCGUUGUCCUUCUCCCGCUGCACUUGCUCCUCCACCGCCGGCAGUGACGUCUCCAGCUGCAGCGACGUCAUCAUUUCUGCAGAGAGAGAAAUAAUUGCAAGAUUACAGACGUGUUUUUAAUCAAAUUAAAUGUUUGAACAUGAAAUGUUUGUUCAAGCUAGUAUUAGCAACUAAAAAAUUU
ensembl:ncRNA asRNA:CR43820 antisense RNA:CR43820